CAUUGUCGAAACCUGCACAGCAGAACGACCCGCGAACACGUGAACAACACCGGGGACGCGGGCUUGCCCGUGGACCCUUGCCGUCGGCGUGCGCGCCCACCCAACCACUUGGUGGCAGGGAGAGUGCGUGCGUCGUUCGGCGCCAAACGAACCCCGGCGCGAUCCGCGCCAAGGAAAACUUAACUACAAGAGCGUCUCGUCCUCCCAUCGCCCCGUUCGCGGUGUGCGCACGGUUGGGCAGUCGCUUCUUAGUGAAAAACACAAACGACUCUCGGCAACGGAUAUCUCGGCUCUCGCAUCGAUGAAGAACGUAGCGAAAUGCGAUACUUGGUGUGAAUUGCAGAAUCCCGUGAACCAUCGAGUCUUUGAACGCAAGUUGCGCCCGAAGCCGUUAGGCCGAGGGCACGUCUGCAUGGGCGUCACGCAUCGCGUCGCCUCCCUUAACUAAAUUGUUUACAAAACAAGUCAGGAAAGGGGGAGCGGAUACUGGCCUCCCGUGCCUUGCGGSGCGGCUGGCUCAAAACGGAGUCCCCCGCGAAGGACGCACGACAAGUGGUGGUUGAUAACAAGGCCCUCGCGUCCCGUCGUGCGCACGUCCUGCGCUGGGUUGGCUCUCGUGACCCUGACGCGUCUACGCUUAAGCCUAAGGCGCUCCGACCGCGACCCCAUGUCAGGCGGGACUACCCGCUGAGUUUAAGCAUAUCA
rnacentral:rRNA from 1 species